rnacentral:rRNA from 1 species
UACGUAGGCAGCAAGCGUUGUUCGGAAUUACUGGGCGUAAAGAGUGUGUAGGCGGUGCUCUAAGUUUGGUGUGAAAUCUCCCGGCUCAACUGGGAGGGUGCGCCGAAAACUGGAAUGCUUGAACGUGGGAGAGGAAAGCGGAAUUCCUGGUGUAGCGGUGAAAUGCGUAGAUAUCAGGAGGAACACCUGCGGUGUAGACGGCUUUCUGGACCAUAGCUGACGCUGAGACACGAAAGCGUGGGUAGCAAACAGG